rnacentral:rRNA from 1 species
GACGAACGCUGGCGGCGUGCUUAACACAUGCAAGUCGAACGGAAAGGCCCUGCUUUUGUGGGGUGCUCGAGUGGCGAACGGGUGAGUAACACGUGAGUAACCUGCCCUUGACUUUGGGAUAACUUCAGGGAACUGGGGCUAAUACCGGAUAGGAGCUCCUGCUGCAUGGUGGGGGUUGGAAAGUUUCGGCGGUUGGGGAUGGACUCGCGGCUUAUCAGCUUGUUGGUGGGGUAGUGGCUUACCAAGGCUUUGACGGGUAGCCGGCCUGAGAGGGUGACCGGCCACAUUGGGACUGAGAUACGGCCCAGACUCCUACGGGAGGCAGCAGUGGGGAAUAUUGCACAAUGGGCGGAGGCCUGAUGCAGCAACGCCGCGUGCGGGAUGACGGCCUUCGGGUUGUAAACCGCUUUCGCCUGUGACGAAGCGUGAGUGACGGUAAUGGGUAAAGAAGCACCGGCUAACUACGUG